CCCUUAGACGUUCUGGGCCGCACGCGCGCUACACUGACCAGUGCAACAAGCAUCCGUCCUUGGCCGACAGGCCCGGGCAAUCUUUGAACGCUGGUCGUGAUGGGGAUAGACUUUUGCAAUUUUUGGUCUUCAACGAGGGAUUCCUAGUAAACGCAAGUCAUCAACUUGCAUUGAUUACGUCCCUGCCCUUUGUACACACCGCCCGUCGCACCUACCGAUUGAAUGGUCCGGUGAAGCCUCCGGAUUGGCGUGCACCCUCGGGUGCUGCCGAGAAGUUGGCUAAACCUUACCAUUUAGAGGAAGGUGAAGUCGUAACA
rnacentral:rRNA from 1 species